CAGCAGCCGCGGGAAUACGUAGGUGGCAAGCGUUGUCCGGAAUUAUUGGGCGUAAAGGGCUCGCAGGCGGUUUCUUAAGUCUGAUGUGAAAGCCCCCGGCUCAACCGGGGAGGGUCAUUGGAAACUGGGAAACUUGAGUGCAGAAGAGGAGAGUGGAAUUCCACGUGUAGCGGUGAAAUGCGUAGAGAUGUGGAGGAACACCAGUGGUGAAGGCGACUCUCUGGUCUGUAACUGACGCUGAGGAGCGAAAGCGUGGGGAGCAAACAGGAUUAGAUACCCCUGUAGUCCCUGUCUCUUAUAC
rnacentral:rRNA from 1 species